GUUUGGUCCUGGCUGUAAUAGCGCAUCAGUUUGAAUGAACCUGUCGGAAGCAUCGAAUAUUAAAAAUGCAGCGAGGGAAAAAUAAGUCGGGUUUUCAAAAAAGGAGAGAGCGAAAGGAGCGAAAUGAAAGACAGAAGAGAGGAUGCCAAUAUGUGACCCAUUUUUUCACCAAGAAAGAUGAGCCAGCAGCAGCCCCAUCUCCACAUAACCCGUCCCCCACCUGUCCCAAUGAAGAAGGGCCCAGAUUUCCUGGCGGCACCCCUGGUGAU